UGCGGCGCUGGACGGAGGACGAGGUCCGGCGGGUCGUCAGGUCGCUGCGGUACGCGUCGGUGUGCUGCGUGCUCGGUGUCGCGUGCGCCGCGG
rnacentral:tRNA from 1 species